rnacentral:rRNA from 1 species
GAGAUUAGCUUGCUUUAUUUGUCAGCUAAGUGGCGCACGGGUGAGUAAUGUAUAGAUAACCUGCCCUCUAGAAAGGAAUAACAGUUGGAAACGACUGCUAAUGCCCUAUAUGCCUUUAAUACAUAAGUAUGCAAGGGAAACGCUUUAGUGCUAGAGGAUGGGUCUGUAUGGUAUCAGCUAGUUGGUGAGGUGAUGGCUCACCAAGGCUAUGACGCCUAACUGGUUUGAGAGGAUGAUCAGUCACACUGGAACUGAGACACGGUCCAGACUCCUACGGGAGGCAGCAGUGGGGAAUAUUGCACAAUGGACGAAAGUCUGAUGCAGCACCGCCGCGUGGAGGAUGACACAUUUCGGUGCGUAAACUCCUUUUAUAUAGGAAGAUAAUGACGGUACUAUAUGAAUAAGCACCGGCUAACUCCGUGCCAGCAGCCGCGGUAAUACGGAGGGUGCAAGCGUUACUCGGAAUCACUGGGCGUAAAGAGCGUGUAGGCGGGUAUAUAAGUCAGAAGUGAAAUCCUAUAGCUUAACUAUAGAACUGCUUUUGAAACUGUAUACCUAGAAUGUGGGAGAGGUAGAUGGAAUUUCUGGUGUAGGG